ACGGAGAGGGCAAGCGUUGUUCGGAUUUAUUGGGCGUAAAGCGCGCGUAGGUGGCAUGGUAAGUCGGAUGUUAAAGACCCACGGCUCACCCGGGGGAAUGCGUCCGAUACUGCCGUGCUAGAGUGCGGGAGAGGAAAGUGGAAUUCCUGGUGUAGUGGUGAAAUGCGUAGAGAUCCGGAGGAACCCCGGUGGCGAAGGCGACUUGCUAGGCCUGAACUGACGCUCAGACGCGAAAGCAUGGGGAGCGAACGG
rnacentral:rRNA from 1 species